AGCAGUAGCCGCGGAAAACGUAGGGUGCAAGCGUUAAUCGGAAUUACUGGGCGUAAAGCGUGCGCAGGCGGUUAUAUAAGACAGAUGUGAAAUCCCCGGGCUCAACCUGGGAACUGCAUUUGUGACUGUAUAGCUAGAGUACGGCAGAGGGGGAUGGAAUUCCGCGUGUAGCAGUGAAAUGCGUAGAUAUGCGGAGGAACACCGAUGGCGAAGGCAAUCCCCUGGGCCUGUACUGACGCUCAUGCACGAAAGCGUGGGGAGCAAACAGGAUUAGAUACCCGCGUAGUCCCUGUCUCUUAUACC
rnacentral:rRNA from 1 species